rnacentral:rRNA from 1 species
UCAGAAUGAACGCUGGCGGCGUGCUUAACACAUGCAAGUCGAACGAGAAAUCUUUAGCUUGCUAGAGAAAGUAAAGUGGCGCACGGGUGAGUAACGCGUGGGUAAUCUGCCUCCGAAUCGGGGAUAACAUUGCGAAAGCGAUGCUAAUACCGGAUAAAAUCUGGUUGGCUUAGGUGAACCGGAUCAAAGGUGGUCUCUUUAUAAAAGCUACCGUUUGGAGAUGAGCUCGCGUACCAUUAGCUAGUUGGUGAGGUAAAGGCUCACCAAGGCGACGAUGGUUAGCUGGUCUGAGAGGAUGAUCAGCCACACCGGAACUGGAACACGGUCCGGACUCCUACGGGAGGCAGCAGUGAGGAAUUUUGCGCAAUGGGGGAAACCCUGACGCAGCAACGCCGCGUGAGUGAUGAAGGCUUUCGGGUCGUAAAGCUCUGUCAGGUGGGAAGAACCCACCAAGUGUUAAGGCCACUUGGUGCUGACGGUACCACCGAAGGAAGCACCGGCUAACUCCGUGCCAGCAGCCGCGGUAAUACGGGGGGUGCGAGCGUUAUUCGGAAUCAUUGGGCGUAAAGGGCGCGCAGGCGGUUUUGUAAGUCAGAUGUGAAAUCCCGGGGCUUAACCCCGGAAGUGCAUAUGAAACUAUGAGACUUGAGUAUGGGAGAGGGAAGCGGAAUUCCUGGUGUAGCGGUGAAAUGCGUAGAUAUCAGGAGGAACACCGGUGGCGAAGGCGGCUUCCUGGACCAAUACUGACGCUGAGGCGCGAAGGCGUGGGGAGCGAACAGGAUUAGAUACCCUGGUAGUCCACGCAGUAAACGUUGAUCACUAGGUGUAGCGGGUAUUGACCCCUGCUGUGCCGGAGUUAACGCAUUAAGUGAUCCGNCUGGGGAGUACGAUCGCAAGAUUAAAACUCAAAGGACUUGACCGGGGCCCGCACAACCGUGGAGCAUGUGGUUUAAUUCGACGCAACGCGAAGAACCUUACCUGGACUUGACAUCUCGGGAAUCCCGUUGAAUGACGGGAGGGCCUUUAACGAGGAAUCCGAUGACAGGUGCUGCAUGGCUGUCGUCAGCUCGUGUCGUGAGAUGUUGGGUUAAGUCCCGCA